GGUGGUCAGAUGGGAGCAGGGACAAGAGUCUAUUUUGGAGAACCAUUCGCAUUUGGCAGAGUCAAUAGAAGUGACUGAAAGCAACACCACUUCGCACAAUCGCUAACAUUGAUGGGGAACAUGGGACGGAGCUGUCCUACGAGGUGUGACCGAGGGAGUAAGAGAUGGAUACUGAGCAAUUGUCUGGUCUGCUCCUGCAUCAGGGUCUGAAAACAAGCAUUGGCUGCCUUUUCCAGAAAAGAAGGCAGCACACGCGGACAGCAGGAACCUUCACGCCUCAGACAUGUCAGUAGGAAUGGUCAGUCCAGAGGUUCUAUUUUAGCGGGCCACUCACAUGAGCGCUGGAAUCCAUAUAUCUACCCUGUUUCUGCCCCUCUCCUCUCAGGAAAGACGGCUGUGCGUGUUUGUUGCCAAAGGUUGAUAUCUCUUAAGAGACCUGUCAAAGUCCAGUCAUGUCUGAAGAGUAAGUAUUCAUCCUUCAUCUGAACUAAAGUGUGCAUCAGAGUUAUCACCAUGAAUGUUUUACUCUUUCUUUUCAUUCA